rnacentral:rRNA from 1 species
AUUGAACGCUGGCGGCAUGCUUUACACAUGCAAGUCGAACGGCAGCGCGGGCUUCGGCCUGGCGGCGAGUGGCGAACGGGUGAGUAAUACAUCGGAACGUGCCCAGUAGUGGGGGAUAGCUCGGCGAAAGCCGGAUUAAUACCGCAUACGACCUGAGGGUGAAAGCGGGGGAUCUUCGGACCUCGCGCUAUUUGAGCGGCCGAUGGCAGAUUAGCUAGUUGGUGGGGUAAAGGCCUACCAAGGCGACGAUCUGUAGCUGGUCUGAGAGGACGACCAGCCACACUGGGACUGAGACACGGCCCAGACUCCUACGGGAGGCAGCAGUGGGGAAUUUUGGACAAUGGGCGAAAGCCUGAUCCAGCAAUGCCGCGUGUGUGAUGAAGGCCUUCGGGUUGUAAAGCACUUUUGGCGGGAACGAAAAGGACUGUGCCAAUACCACGGUUCGAUGACGGUACCCGCAGAAUAAGCACCGGCUAACUACGU